CCCACCCUUUUUGAACUUCACGUGAAAAAGAAAAGAAAACUCUCAAACUCUCCUUCCCUCCUUCACGCCAAUUUGCAAACCCUCAAACCUCCUUGUUUUCUUCGGCCACCACCUGACCGCCGUCGGCCACCACCUGACCGCCGUCGACCACCGCCUGACCAAUGUCGACCACCAUGCUGACCGUCGUCGACCACUGCACCACCGCACGCACCACCUUCACCCUGCACGCAGCCGCGCCGCUGAGCCACCGCCCUUUCCCCGCCGCCACGUCUUCACUCGCCGCAAGCCGCCGCCCUGCCGCCGCCAUGCCCUGUCCGCCGGCCAACCCUCCUCUCUCCUUCCCUAUUUGGUGGAGAAUUCUCUGUGGGCGACUUUUGAAAGUGUUAAAGUGACAUAUCAAAUUGUUUACACAAGUCUCUAAGGAUCAAUAAGCGUUGCCCAUCUACAGGUUUGAAGAUGAUGCAUGAUUGGGAUCGGGAUUAGAGAGCUUGUAUUUAGUUUUGAUUUGCUAAGUUGAAUUUGGUUUGUUUAAUUGGACUCUAAACUUGUUGAACUAGCUACAUUGACUUUAUUUUCGUUGAUUGGUUUUGGAAUUAACUCUGUAGUUGAUUAUUUAUAAACCUAAA